GCUAGUAUCCGCCCACUUGACACUUUAACCAAUCACGAUCUCGCAUUCGAGAUCUCCCUCCGCAUUACACAAGCAACUUUCGGGUGCGAAGCGCCCAGCUCCAGCAAGAUCAUCAAACUUUGAAGUAACGUGCCGCGGUUUACACGAAGUAACUAUAACGGCGUUACAGCGAGGAUGAAAGUAAUUAGUUAGAUUACUAAAUUACUUGAUUUAUAACGCCGUUAGUAACGCCGUUAUACUUAAACGGCGUUAGUCCCAACACUGUCCGUGUUCUUGUAGAUGAACUUUGAUCUGGUUCGCUUCAGUGUGAAUGCAGAUGGACUUUCCAUGGAUCAGAGAACCAGGAGGAGGAAAUGCUGUAAAAUGGGAUGAGCUGCAGAUGCUCGUCUUGCAGUUGCUCCCCUCUCACCUGCAGAUGGCUGCAGCUUCAGAGCGAAACAAAAGAGGACGGCUCCUGGGAGCUGAAGCCUCUGCUGCACUGCGCGCUGAUGGGUGUCUGUCUGUGAACUCUGUGAAGACAGUUGUUGCAGCUCAAGGAUCGGCGUUGGCAUGGAGACCAUUAGCUGUUUUUAUUCACACCUACAGCUGUCAUGAAGCAUCUUCCUCACAGCAGGAAAGCUCUUCUUAAUUUAUGAGGCUGGCGGGGAUCAGAGCCGUCACACUUAAUGAACAUGUGUGGACUCUUAUCAGAAAAACUUGGAGAACAAAGCCGCCUCCCCCGGGCUGAGGCUCAUGACUCCAUGAUGAAAGCAGCAACAGCCUCAUGAUGAAAUCUCAGGAAGGACCAGCCAUGGCACUCAGCCUGUCAGUGAAUACUCCCACAUCAUGGCAGUUAUCUCUAAACUUUUCAAAGCCCAGCUUUUCCCAGCAUGCCGUGGGUGAGGGGUCAUAUUAUGCAAAACUUCCCCUCUGACAUGAAACUGCGGUCGGUCCAGGAUCCAUGUGCUCUGACUUCUGUCAACCACUCCUGCCACGGCCCGCCUAUCACGGAUCAGAGUGCAGAUGUUCCACCCCAGUACAGUAGGUGGCAGUAUUCCCUCUUUAUUAGCUUAUCAUUCACAAUAAAUGAAGGAGGGUUUUAAAAAAAGAAAAAAAAAUAGUCUCAAGAGCUCCAAGAAAUGGCGUCUCAGGGUCGUCCCCUUGAUGGAGCAGAGCAGGGAGACUUCCACAGCAUGUUUUCUACGUCACAAUCUUUGACGAAAUACAAUCUUUUAAUCUUCUCCUGAUUUGCAACAAUUGGAAUAAAGAAAUGUUCAGAAACAAAAUUUCAAAUGUAUUUUUCUUAGAAUAUGUGAUCAUAAAAAUGCCUCAAGAACAUGUUAAAAAAGCACAAUUUUCAUUCUAGUGUUUUUAAUAAAAAUAGUUUUGUGAGGAAAUGGUGGUGAAGGACCCAAACGCAGGAGAGCAGGUUUGGUGACAGGAACUUAACACAUUUAAUAAAGUAACCAAAACAUGACCAAAAAAACCCAUGGAGAAAAAAUGUCAUGGUGAGACUGACGGGGAAAACAGAACAUGAUAAAGCCUAAGCACAGAAUCCUGACCAGUUUUUAAAACACAUUUUUCUAUUUGACAUAACCAGUUCUUCAGGUGAACCUUUACCAAAAAUAAGUAUACUUCAAGUACAUGUUUAAAUGUAUACUUAAGUUUUAAAAAGUAGAUACCAAGUAUCAGUGUUGGGACUAACGCCGUUUAAGUAUAACGGCGUUACUAACGGCGUUAUAAAUCAAGUAAUUUAGUAAUCUAACUAAUUACUUUCAUCCUCGCUGUAACGCCGUUAUAGUUACUUCGUGUAAAUCGCGGCGCGAAGUUUGAUGAUCUUGCUGGAGCUGGGCGCUUCGCACCCGAAAGUUGCUUGUGUAAUGCGGAGGGAGAUCUCGAAUGCGAGAUCGUGAUUGGUUAAAGUGUCAAGUGGGCGGAUACUAGCUCGCGCGCAUGAGCCAGUAAAAAAAGGAGCUGAUUGUGGAUUUCAGAAGGAAGAGGGCUGAAAGCAUUCAACCAUUGUACAUCGGUGGAGACUGUGUGGAGAGGGUGGCUGCCUUUCGCUUUCUGGGCAUACAAAUCAAGGAGGACUUGUCAUGGAGCUCCAAUACCUCAGUGAUAGUUAAAAAAGCACAGCAGAGACUCUAUUUUCUGAGGCUUCUCAAAAAGAACAACUUGCCACAGAAACUGCUGG
ensembl:lncRNA